rnacentral:rRNA from 1 species
CCUAAACAUGCAAGUCGAGCGGCAGCGGGAAAGUAGCUUGCUACUUUUGCCGGCGAGCGGCGGACGGGUGAGUAAUGCCUGGGAAAUUGCCCAGUCGAGGGGGAUAACAGUUGGAAACGACUGCUAAUACCGCAUACGCCCUACGGGGGAAAGCAGGGGACCUUCGGGCCUUGCGCGAUUGGAUAUGCCCAGGUGGGAUUAGCUUGUUGGUGAGGUAAUGGCUCACCAAGGCGACGAUCCCUAGCUGGUCUGAGAGGAUGAUCAGCCACACUGGAACUGASACACGGUCCAGACUCCUACGGGAGGCAGCAGUGGGGAAUAUUGCACAAUGGGGGAAACCCUGAUGCAGCCAUGCCGCGUGUGUGAAGAAGGCCUUCGGGUUGUAAAGCACUUUCAGCGAGGAGGAAAGGUUGGUAGCUAAUAACUGCCAACUGUGACGUUACUCGCAGAAGAAGCACCGGCUAACUCCGUGCCAGCAGCCGCGGUAAUACGGAGGGUGCAAGCGUUAAUCGGAAUUACUGGGCGUAAAGCGCACGCAGGCGGUUGGAUAAAUUAAAUGUGAAAGCCCCGGGCUCAACCUGGGAAUUG